rnacentral:rRNA from 1 species
AUGUUCGCGCCGGCUGCGGGUGGUUCGCAAUUUUGGCAUCAACUGGUUAAAGUCCGGCCAAUCUUUCGGUCCCUUGUUAAAUUUGUAGUUAGGAACGGUAAGUCUACUCGGUUUUGGCUUGAUUGGUGGGUCGGGGACUCCACACUGGCCGUUGCUUUUCCGGUUCUAUUUUCUUAUUGCGAUGAUACGGAGGUUUCUAUCUCUGAACUCUCGGCUAGGGGUUGGGUUCUAGAUUUUCGUCGUUCUCUUUCUCCUGAAGAGUUGGAAGAUUGGCAGCGCCUUACUGCUUGCUUCCCCCUGCUCUCGGAGGAAGAGGAUGCCGUGGUGUGGCCCCUCUCCUCUUCGGGGCGUUUUUCGGUUAAAUCUGCUUACUCCAAACUUAUUCCUGGGGGGUGCCCGGUCAAGUUCAAGCAUAUCUGGUCGGCUCGAAUUCCUCCUAAGAUCAAGAUAUUUCUCUGGCAAGCUGUCCGAGGUAAGCUUCUGGCGGCCGAUCAGAUUAAGAAAAGAAACGGGCCGGGAUCCGACAGGUGUGUGCUAUGUGGAGCACUGGAGAACACCGAGCAUAUUUUCUUUCACUGCUCUCUAGCUAAGCUUCUGUGGUGUUGCAUGAGACUCUGGUUACAUGUAAAUUGGUCCCCUUCCUCCUUUGACGACCUGAGGCAUUGUGUCAAUCUGCUUCCUGGCCAUUCUAAAAGAGUAUUCUUAGUUGGAUGGGCUGCGAUUGGAUGGUCGUUGUGGGCUACUAGGAAUAAGUUCUCGAUUGAACGUAUUUUUCCGGCUAAUCCUGUCAAUUGCUUAUUUAAAGCCAAUGGUUUCUUGCAGCAGUGGAGAUUAUUGACUAAAGAAGGGGACCUCCAGGCCUUCGACGCCAUGCUAUCUAAGAUGAAAUCUACGGCGUCUGGGCUUCUUCGGCUUUCCUUGAGGACGGCUUCCUGA